UCUUCCAAGUUUCUCUGUUGUUUUUCCACUCCCUCCAGAAACCAUGUCCGCGUCCAUUCCUUCCUUCUCUUCUUCUUCCCUUGUGUGCCGAGCCCUCAAACCCCCAAAGCCCUCAUCCCACUGCUUAUCCUUCAAAACCCUAACGCUAACCUGUACAUCACAAACAAAACCCAAGAAAGGAGCCACCACGAAUGCCCCGAAACCCACCUCCAAACGCAAUAGAAAGCCGUCAUAUGGUACCUCCAGAAGGUCAAUUCUCAAGAAAACAUUCAACCAGGAGCAAGUUAUGUUCUCCGCUCCGGUCUCCAAUGACCCGGUCGUGGCGAUAAUUGGCGGAGGGAUGGCGGGUUUGAUAUGUGCCUUGAAUUUGGAGAAGAGAGGGGUUCGGUCCACGGUUUUCGACACGGGGAUUCAUGGUUUGGGAGGAAGAAUGGGAACCAGAAUAAUAGAUCCGUGGCCGUUAAUAUUUGACCAUGCGGCUCAGUUCUUUACGGUAAAUGAUUCUCGGUUUGCUGAGUUGGUGGAUUGCUGGUUGGAGAAAGGCCUGAUUCAAGAGUGGCAGGGUAUUAUUGGGGAGCUUGACGUGAGUGGUCUGUUUUCUCCAUUUCCUUCUUCUCUUAGAAGAUAUGUAGGUGUUAAUGGAAUGCGCCCCCUUGCUGACUCGUUACUAUCUGAGACUUGUAUGGUUAAUGUGGUGAGACCUUGCUGGAUAAGUAAACUUGAGCCAUUUAAUGGCAUGUGGCACUUGAGUGAAAAUGGAAAACCUUGUGGAGAGUUUGAUGCGAUUGUUAUUGCACAUAAUGGAAAGUGUGCAAAUCGCUUGCUUGCGACCUCAGGCUUACCCUUAAUCGCAAGGCAGAUGAAGAGGCUGGAAUUAAGUUCUAUAUGGGCCCUCCUUGCAGCAUUUGAGGACCCUCUUCCUCUCCCAAAUGGUGCAGUUACAUCUUUUGAAGGAGCUUUUGUCAAAGGGGUUGAUUCUGUCUCUUGGAUGGCAAACAAUACAAAGAAACUUCUACGCUCCCAAAGUAGCGGCCCUCACUGUUGGACCUUUCUUAGCACUGCAGCUUAUGGAAAGCGCAACAAGGUUCCACAGGAAAACAUCCCAACUGCCACAGCAGAGAAGGUGAAGGCAGGCAUGCUUGAGGGUGUUGAGGCUGCGUUGGGGUUAUCAAAAGGAUCACUUAAGAAACCACUUUAUACCCGUGUCCAACUAUGGGGUGCAGCUCUUCCCACUAAUACACCUGGCAUCCCCUGCAUAUUUGAUCCUCAAGGAAGGGCUGGUAUAUGUGGCGAUUGGUUACUUGGUUCAAGUUUAGAGUCAGCAGCCUUGAGUGGUAUGAGUCUUGCCAAUCAUAUUGCUGAUUAUUUUCAAAGUGGUGGAGCUCAUCCUGAAGAGUUUGCCAUUGGUUUACAGAAUGAGUUUCAACCACUUGAAGGACAUGAUGUUGGACAGUUUCCAGGACUGGAGUCUGAAAAAAAACAGAUGAAUGAGCCCGAGCUUAUCAACUUACCUCCUGAAGUUGUGUCAGCGUGAGAAUUAUUAUAGAUUCACAGGGCAGAAGUUCAAGGCUCAGGUCAGCUUUCAAAAGACUUCCGUGGGAAGAUGAUGAUUAUGUUUAUUAUGCUUACCAUCUCCCGGAACCCCAAUUUGUGAAUGCAUAUUUUGUUGUGGUUCAUCUGCCCAUCCCUCCAACAGAGCUUUGGAAGUUCAAUGAAAGGGUUAUCGUAGUUGAGUGCUGCAAAGCUGAUUUGAGUUAUCGUGACCCAAUUUUAGAUGAUGGAAAUGGUGAAUCUCAAACAUGGGCCAUUAUUUAUAGCAUCUCAAUCGGUAUAUCCAAGGGAUUGGAACAUCUUCAUACAGGAUUUGAGAAGCCCGUAAUCAUGGAAGCCUCAAGUCAAAAAACAUACUUUUGGAUCGCAAUUACCAUCCUUACAUCUCUGACUUCGGCCUUCAUCUUCUGUUGAAUGCUACUGCUAACCAAAAGAUGCUUGAAACUUCAGCAGCUGAGGGUUUAGGGAGGGAGCCUAUCAACGAGAACCCAACUCCUGAUGAGGAUUUUUAUUUGCCCAACUUCAUGACGAAUGAAGUCCAUGGACAUUGGAUCGGAGACUUAUUUCGUCUUGAAAUGCUUCUCAAUGAACAAAGCUGGAACCAAUUUACAGCAUGAUUUUGUAUGUGCAUCUUUUCGGGAGGUGCGCUGGGGAAAGAAGAUAAAAGGGAAAAAUGGUAAAGGAAAAGAAGAGGGGAGAUAGAUGGCUCGGGGGGAGAGCAGGGAGAAGGGAAUAGACUGAUUCUAUAAACUAGUACCUACAAUAAGAUAAAUAAAUCUCAUAUUUGUUGAGAUUUUAUUGGCCGGUGUAAAUAUGUGAAUGACACCCGACUGAUUGUUAGCUUUUCUCUUAGCCAAAAUAAAGAUGAUUAAUCUUUUUUCGCACUGAAAA